ensembl:lncRNA
AUGAUUUGGGACAGGGCCAAUCCAAGAGUUCUCAAAGCUCCAGAGCCCCACUGGAGAGAAACUACAGUCCAGAGCAACCGUGGGAACAUGGGGAGUUUUAAUUAUCCAGUUUGGAGCUACGGGCCUGUUGACCCUGAAGAGCUGAUGAGAGUUCAACCUCAGCAGCCCAGACAGUCCAACACUUUCAGAAUACUACAAGAGUUUCAUUUCACUGUCAUCACUCUUAUAUUCAUUCAUGCAUUCAAACCCCUGGAAUAAAGCAUAAGGAAUAAAGCCUCGUGUAAUAAAAGCA